UUGUCUCUCUUGAGUGGAUCCUGAGUACGACGGAGCACGUGAAAUUCCGUCGGAAUCUGGGAGGACCAUCUCCUAAGGCUAAAUACUCUCUAGUGACCGAUAGUGAACCAGUACCGUGAGGGAAAGGUGAAAAGCACCCCGGAAGGGGAGUGAAAUAGAACCUGAAACCGUGUGCUUACAAGUAGUCAGAGCCCGUUAAUGGGUGAUGGCGUGCCUUUUGUAGAAUGAACCGGCGAGUUACGAUUUGAUGCAAGGUUAAGCAGUAAAUGUGGAGCCGUAGCGAAAGCGAGUCUGAAUAGGGCGUUUAGUAUUUGGUCGUAGACCCGAAACCAGGUGAUCUACCCUUGGUCAGGUUGAAGUUCAGGUAACACUGAAUGGAGGACCGAACCGACUUACGUUGAAAAGUGAGCGGAUGAACUGAGGGUAGCGGAGAAAUUCCAAUCGAACCUGGAGAUAGCUGGUUCUCUCCGAAAUAGCUUUAGGGCUAGCCUCAAGUGAUGAUUAUUGGAGGUAGAGCACUGUUUGGACGAGGGGCCCCUCUCGGGUUACCGAAUUCAGACAAACUCCGAAUGCCAAUUAAUUUAACUUGGGAGUCAGAACAUGGGUGAUAAGGUCCGUGUUCGAAAGGGAAACAGCCCAGACCACCAGCUAAGGUCCCAAAAUAUAUGUUAAGUGGAAAAGGAUGUGGCGUUGCCCAGACAACUAGGAUGUUGGCUUAGAAGCAGCCAUCAUUUAAAGAGUGCGUAAUAGCUCACUAGUCGAGUGACACUGCGCCGAAAAUGUACCGGGGCUAAACAUAUUACCGAAGCUGUGGAUUGUCCUUUGGACAAUGGUAGGAGAGCGUUCUAAGGGCGUUGAAGCAUGAUCGUAAGGACAUGUGGAGCGCUUAGAAGUGAGAAUGCCGGUGUGAGUAGCGAAAGACGGGUGAGAAUCCCGUCCACCGAUUGACUAAGGUUUCCAGAGGAAGGCUCGUCCGCUCUGGGUUAGUCGGGUCCUAAGCUGAGGCCGACAGGCGUAGGCGAUGGAUAACAGGUUGAUAUUCCUGUACCACCUAUAAUCGUUUUAAUCGAUGGGGGGACGCAGUAGGAUAG
rnacentral:rRNA from 1 species